UAGCUCAGCUGGUAAAGAAUCUGCCUGCAAUGCAGGAGACCCAGGUUCAAUUCCUGG
rnacentral:tRNA from 1 species